GAUUGGUCGGCAAAGUCCCUAAACGGUCUGCAAGGUGGACGCUGAUUGGCUGAAUCGAUCGGUUUCCCGUAUUCGCCCUUGGCUUCGUGGUGCGAGUCGCGGAGGAAGGAACGAGCUGGGAUUUUCAGGGUUUGGUUCCUUGGAACUAAGUUUUCCCCUCGGAGCUUGCGUCCAUUGGCUGCCUGAGAGCGUAGAGGUUGCGUAGAAGUGGGCAGAGGCGCCAUGACGCGGCAGAGCAACGGGUACAUGGAGCGGCGCGGGGGCGCACGGGGCGGGCGGGGCCGCGGCUUCUGCAGUCGCGGCCGCGGCGGUGGCGGCGGCGGGCAACGGGGAGGCCAAAGGGGCGGCCCUGGUGGAGGGCACAAACCGCCGCCGCUCAUGUCGCGCCCCAUGCCUCCCCCGCCAGGCAUGAGGCGCCCGCCUAACAUGGGACCCCCCCAUGGACCUAUGGGGCCGCCACCCCCCAUGGGCCCCCCACCCGGUAGGAUGGGUCCUCCUGGUCCCGGGAGGAGGCCUGCGCCCAUGGGUCCACCCGGCAGGAUGGGCCCACCUGGACCCGGACCUAUGGGCCCUCCCCCACCCCGCGGCGCCAUGGGCAUGCGUGGUCGAGGGGGCAUGCGGGGCAUGAUGGGCCCCCCUCCCCCCAUGGGCCCCCCCUUCAGACCUGGACCCCCUGGCCCUGGCAUGAUGGGGCCACCAGGACCGCCCAUGAGGGGGCGAGGCAGGGGCAUGCUUCGGGGGCGUGGGCCCAUGCGAGGCCGCGGGGGGGGAAUCCUCAACAAAAAGGACAAGCAGGGAGAAAUGAACAAGCCGUGGGUGACAGAAGCCAUGAAGAAUGAGAUCAUGAAGAAGCACAAGCUGCACCAGAAGGCAAAGAAGACCAAGAGCAAGGAAGACUGGGAUGGGUUCAAGGAGCAGCGCAACAAAGUGACCACCAUGCUCCGUGAGGCCAAGCUGGAGUACAUCGGCGCACACCCAGAGGAGUGAUCCAGUGUGACUGGAUGGUUCUUCCAGUAUGCAAGGAGAGACUCUAACUCGCAGUUGAACUUUAAGAGAAAAAAAAAAAAGUAAAGUUCACAUCAAGUUUGUGACACUCUGGGGUGCCUUGUUGUGUCAAUGGGGUACCUGGUUUUAAGAGUGAAAAGGGUUACUACAUUGCCAUCGACAUGACCAAAGAUGUCCUUGCACACCUUAAGGAACAUAAUAAAAACAUCUGGUUGACUCUGCAUCUUGGUUGCUUGGCUUUUACUGAGUAAUGGAAGGAGGAGGGAAAAUGACAUGAGCCGCACAUUACUGUCAUUGAAUGCAGUGUGAGUUUGAUUGUUGUUUAGCUGCAAAGAGGAUCCCGAAAGAAGAGAGUUGUAAGCAGAAGGUCUCUUGGCAAUGUGAUCCUGUAUCAGUUUUUUAUAGAGAUAGCUCAAAGGAAUCUGAUUCCUGUUAAGAAGGUGAAUGGAAUAGGAUAGCUGAUGGGACCGAAAGGGAAGAAUGGGGAUCAUCCUGUUCCCCCCAAGGAAGGGAAGAGGGAAGGAAAAGAGUACUACUGGGUGGGGAAGGUUGAAAUAAAAGCACACUAGGAGAACCUCCAUUUCUGUUACCCAUAGGAGUGAGGGAGAAGUUCUCAAAAAUGUGAAUGUGGUCCCCCAUUUUUCCCCCAUUUUCUAUGGAGCAUUUUAUAUAUAUAUAUAUAUAUAUAUAUAUAUAUAUAUAUAUAUAUAUAUA